UUAAGAAUCUUGCACAAUGGGCGCAAGCCUGAUGCAGCGACGCCGCGUGGAUGAUGAAGGCCUUCGGGUUGUAAAGUCCGGUAAGCAGGGAAGAAUAAGCGCCGGGUAAUAUUCGGUGUGAUGACGGUACCUGCCUAAAGCCCCGGCUAACUACGUGCCAGCAGCCGCGGUAAUACGUAUGGGGCGAGCGUUGUUCGGAAUUAUUGGGCGUAAAGGGCGUCUAGGCGGGGAUUUAAGUUAGGUGUGAAAGCUAUGGGCUCAACCCAUAAAUUGCACCUAAAACUGGAUCUCUUGAGUUCGGGAGAGGAGAGCGGAAUUCCAGGUGUAGCGGUGAAAUGCGUAGAUAUCUGGAAGAACACCAGUGGCGAAGGCGGCUCUCUGGCCUAGGACUGACGCUGAA
rnacentral:rRNA from 1 species